rnacentral:rRNA from 1 species
GUGAUUUAAGUCAGCGGUGAAAGUUUGUGGCUCAACCAUAAAAUUGCCGUUGAAACUGGGUUACUUGAGUGUGUUUGAGGUAGGCGGAAUGCGUGGUGUAGCGGUGAAAUGCAUAGAUAUCACGCAGAACUCCGAUUGCGAAGGCAGCUUACUAAACCAUAACUGACACUGAAGCACGAAAGCGUGGGGAUCAAACAGGAUUAGAUACCCUGGUAGUCCACGCAGUAAACGAUGAUUACUAGGAGUUUGCGAUACAAUGUAAGCUCUACAGCGAAAGCGUUAAGUAAUCCACCUGGGGAGUACGCCGGCAACGGUGAAACUCAAAGGAAUUGACGGGGGCCCGCACAAGCGGAGGAACAUGUGGUUUAAUUCGAUGAUACGCGAGGAACCUUACCCGGGUUUGAACGUAGUCUGACCGGAGUGGAAACACUUUUUCUAGCAAUAGCAGAUUACGAGGUGCUGCAUGGUUGUCGUCAGCUCGUGCCGUGAGGUGUCGGCUUAAGUGCCAUAACGAGCGCAACCCUUAUCACUAGUUACUAACAGGUGAAGCUGAGGACUCUGGUGAGACUGCCAGCGUAAGCUGUGAGGAAGGUGGGGAUGACGUCAAAUCAGCACGGCCCUUACAUCCGGGGCGACACACGUGUUACAAUGGCAUGGACAAAGGGCAGCUACCUGGCGACAGGAUGCUAAUCUCCAAACCAUGUCUCAGUUCGGAUCGGAGUCUGCAACUCGACUCCGUGAAGCUGGAUUCGCUAGUAAUCGCGCAUCAGCCAUGGCGCGGUGAAUACGUUCCCGGGCCUUGUACACACCGCCCGUCAAGCCAUGGGAGCCGGGGGUACCUGAAGUCCGUAACCGCAAGGAUCGGCCUAGGGUAAAACUGGUGACUGGGGCUAAGUCGUAACAAGGUAGCCGUACCGGAAGGUGCGGCUG